rnacentral:misc_RNA from 1 species
AAGUCGUAACAAGGUUUCCGUAGGUGAACCUGCGGAAGGAUCAUUACAAAAUUUUCCAAACGAAAACUUCCCAGUGGAUAGGGAGUGUCCGGGCCUAAAAAACCCAACCUCUCUUUCCCUGGGUUGGGAGAAGGGGGAAGUCUAGGCUUAACAGCUUACGAUUUCCCGUCCACUCCAACCCCAUAUAAACUCCUUGUGCUUUGUGGUUGACCUUUAGGUCUUUCACAUAUUGGCACAAUUUGAUACCCUUUGGGUAUUCACCUUUUUGUAUUUUUGAUUAGAAAUAAAAAAAAAGAAAGCAAAUGCCUGUUUUGAAUUUUCAUUCUUAACAGUUGUUAGUGCUCUUUUUUAAUAAUCUAAAUAAAACUUUCAACAACGGAUCUCUUGGCUCUC